rnacentral:rRNA from 1 species
UCCGUAGACUGUAGAAUCAGUUCCUAGUUAAAUAUCAAAGCUUAACUUUGAAACAGCUUCGAAUACUGUUCUACUUGAGUUUUAUACAGAAGAUUAGAAUUUUAUACGGAAGGGUAAAAUCUGUAGAUAUAUAAAGGAAUAUCAGCAGCGAAGGCGAGUCUUUGGUAAAAACUGACGUUGAGGGACGAAAGUAUGGGGAGCAAACG